UACGUAGGGGGCAAGCGUUGUCCGGAAUCAUUGGGCGUAAAGAGCGUGUAGGCGGUCCGGUAAGUCGGCUGUGAAAGUCCAGGGCUCAACCCUGGGAUGCCGGUCGAUACUGCCGGACUAGAGUUCGGAAGAGGCGAGUGGAAUUCCCGGUGUAGCGGUGAAAUGCGCAGAGUAUCGGGAGGAACACCUAUGGCGAAGGCAGCUCGCUGGGACGUUACUGACGCUGAGACGCGAAAGCGUGGGGAGCAAACAGG
rnacentral:rRNA from 1 species